rnacentral:rRNA from 1 species
CGGAGGGCUAGCGUUGUUCGGAAUUACUGGGCGUAAAGCGCACGUAGGCGGAUUGGAAAGUCAGAGGUGAAAUCCCAGGGCUCAACCCUGGAACUGCCUUUGAAACUCCCAGUCUUGAGGUCGAGAGAGGUGAGUGGAAUUCCGAGUGUAGAGGUGAAAUUCGUAGAUAUUCGGAGGAACACCAGUGGCGAAGGCGGCUCACUGGCUCGAUACUGACGCUGAGGUGCGAAAAGCGUGGGGAGCAAACAGGAUU